rnacentral:misc_RNA from 1 species
AUGGACUACAAGGGUUUCUAAUCCCGGUCGCUCCCCUAGCUUUCGCGCCUGAGUGUCAAGGGCGGGCCAGCAAAUCGCUUUCGCCACUGGUGUUCCUUCCGGUAUCUACGCAUUUUACCGCUACACCGGAAAUUCCAUUUGCCUCUCCCGCCUUCAAGUCCUGAAGUUUCGAACGGCCUCUCCCAGUUGGGCCGGGAGCUUUCACGCUCGACUUUCAGGACCACCUGCGCGCGCUUUACGCCCAGUAAAUCCGGACAACGCUCGCAACCUACGUAUUACCGCGGCGGCUGGCAC